rnacentral:rRNA from 1 species
GACGAACGCUGGCGGCGUGCCUAAUACAUGCAAGUCGUGCGGACCUUGUUGAAAACUUGCUUUUAAAAGGUUAGCGGCGGACGGGUGAGUAACACGUGGGCAACCUGCCUGUAAGACUGGGAUAACGCCGGGAAACCGGGGCUAAUACCAGAUCGUUUUUUCCUCCGCAUGGAGGAAAAAGGAAAGGCGGCUUCGGCUGCCACUUACAGAUGGGCCCGCGGCGCAUUAGCUAGUUGGCGGGGUAAUGGCCCACCAAGGCAACGAUGCGUAGCCGACCUGAGAGGGUGAUCGGCCACAUUGGGACUGAGACACGGCCCAAACUCCUACGGGAGGCAGCAGUAGGGAAUCUUCCGCAAUGGACGAAAGUCUGACGGAGCAACGCCGCGUGAGUGAAGAAGGCCUUCGGGUCGUAAAACUCUGUUGCCGGGGAAGAACAAGUGCCGUUCGAACAGGGCGGCGCCUUGACGGUACCCGGCCAGAAAGCCACGGCUAACUACGUG